rnacentral:rRNA from 1 species
UACGGAGGAUCCGAGCGUUAUCCGGAUUUAUUGGGUUUAAAGGGAGCGUAGGCGGGUUGUUAAGUCAGUUGUGAAAGUUUGCGGCUCAACCGUAAAAUUGCAGUUGUUACUGGCAUCCUUGAGUACAGUAGAGGUAGGCGGAAUUCGUGGUGUAGCGGUGAAAUGCUUAGAUAUCACGAAGAACUCCGAUUGCGAAGGCAGCCUGCUGGACUGUAACUGACGCUGAUGCUCGAAAGUGUGGGUAUCAAACAGG